GACGAACGCUGGCGGCGUGCUUAACACAUGCAAGUCGAGCGGAGCGGCGAACGGGUGAGUAAGGCGUGAGUAACUGCCCCCCUCUCUGGGAUAACAGUUGGAAACGGCUGCUAAUAACGGAUAGUGGGGGCUGAGUCGCUUCCUAUAAGCUUGGUGGUUGGGUAGUGGCCUACCAAGGCGACGACGGGUAGCCGGCCUGAGAGGGCGACCGGCCACAUUGGGCGGAGGUACGGCCCAAACUGCUACUGGGGGCAGCAGUGGGGAAUAUUGCGCAAUGGGGGAAACCCUGAUGCAGCAACGCGCGUGCGGGAUGACGGCCUUCGGGUUGUAAACCGCUUUCAGCCAUGACGCGGUAGUGGCAGAAGAAGCACCGGCUAACUACGUGCCAGCAGCCGCGGUAAUAC
rnacentral:rRNA from 1 species